rnacentral:lncRNA from 1 species
UCUAAGUCUAGAGAGUCAAUCAUCUAGGACACAUAGUCCACAAGACGACAUUUUUUUGCAUCGUCUAAGACAAAUCGUCUAUCAAACAACUACAUUCAUGCAUUAGGCAUGUCUAAGUUCUAUGCCCAUCUCUAAAAGUUGUCUAGCAUUUCUAGACCCCAAACCCUCUCUUUUGUCUGCCGAAUCUUUUGUAUGCAAUAAAACCAUCUUCCUUCCUAUCAUAGCCCAAUCUCUCUCCUCCUCGAAACUCUUAAUCUCUGAUUUUAUCACUUCACACUCUUAUCCAUUGUUGACAAACACUUUUUUCAAAAUCUUCUCGGUAUUAAAGAGACUCAAAAUCUCCUUUCUACGUACUAACCACAUUAAAUGGAUGAGACUGAUCAAUCCCCCAUGAGUAACUUUUUCUCUCUAUUUAACUUGUUUCUCUUCUCAUCUUCUCAACUCAUUCUCUCAAACACUAAUUCCUCUCUCAUCAUCAUGACCUCUCAAUUCUCCAAUUUCUUCGACCUUCAAUAUUCAAGCCAAUGAAACCUUAUUCCAAACCUCUUGACCGUCAUCAUCAUCUCAUUCUUUCAUCAAAACAAGAUGUACAUGAUAAUUCAAUCUCCUCUCCUACUCCUAUUCUCAGAACUUACCUGUCACCACCACUCCUCACCUAACCCCCAUUCUACCACCACCACUCCUCACCUAACCCCCAUUCUACCACCACCACUCCUCACCUAACCCCCACAUCCAGAACAUUGUCCUUUUCAUCCUUCUUCUAUUCUUCAAUCCUUCACAUUUUCUUCUUUCCAACCGCUCCAACCUGUUUCUUCCCCUUUUCUAAGGGAGUUUUCUCUUUCCUUCUUUUCUCCAUCAUUGUCGGGUCAUGAUGUCUCUUCUUUCAGUUUUUUUCCCUUUUUGAUGUUGUUGAAAAUAGAAUGGCUUAGUUUCAAUACCAAGAGGGGGGAGGGGGGUUUGAAUUGGUGAAACACAAAAAUCAAAGUCUUUUAAAAUCUUUUUCGUAAAAGGAUGACCUUUCAAAAGUUUCUUGAAUCGCAAGGAAAAAGAUUUUCAAGUGCAAACUGCUUACAUCCAGUGUCCUUUGAAUCCCAGGGAAACGCAUGUUUUUAUACUGGUUCAGCCAAACUGCUUACAUUUAGUGUCCUUUCAAUCCCAGGAAGCAAAUGCACUAUAAUGAUCAGGAUUUUUACAACAAGGUUUCUAUAGCGACCUCCACGUCAAAAUAGAAAGCACCUCUCUAAUCCACUAACCAAAAUAUAGGCAUACAAACAAAGAACAACAAAAAUAUAUCCCCUCUCCCAUAGUCUUUAAUCACUUUA